rnacentral:rRNA from 1 species
GAUGAACGCUGGCGGCGUGCUUAACACAUGCAAGUCGAACGGAAAGGCUCCUGCUUGCAGGGGUACUCGAGUGGCGAACGGGUGAGUAACACGUGGGUGAUCUGCCCUGCACUUCGGGAUAAGCCUGGGAAACUGGGUCUAAUACCGGAUAGGACGAUGGUUUGGAUGCCAUUGUGGAAAGUUUUUUCGGUGUGGGAUGAGCUCGCGGCCUAUCAGCUUGUUGGUGGGGUAAUGGCCUACCAAGGCGUCGACGGGUAGCCGGCCUGAGAGGGUGUACGGCCACAUUGGGACUGAGAUACGGCCCAGACUCCUACGGGAGGCAGCAGUGGGGAAUAUUGCACAGUGGGCGCAAGCCUGAUGCAGCGACGCCGCGUGGGGGAUGACGGCCUUCGGGUUGUAAACUCCUUUCGCUAGGGACGAAGCGCAAGUGACGGUACCUGGAGAAGAAGCACCGGCUAACUACGUG